rnacentral:rRNA from 1 species
UACAGAGGGUGGCAAGCGUUGUCCGGAAUCACUGGGCGUAAAGGGCGCGUAGGCGGCCUGAUAAGUCGGGGGUGAAAUUCUGCGGCUUAACCGCAGGACGGCCUUCGAGACUGUCGGGCUUGAGCACGGUAGAGGCUGGUGGAAUUCCCGGUGUAGCGGUGGAAUGCGUAGAGAUCGGGAAGAACAUCGGUGGCGAAGGCGGCCGAGCUGG